rnacentral:lncRNA from 1 species
UCUGAAGUCACCCCAUUUCUUUAUCUCACAAAUGGCACUAAAAUUUGGCCUCCUUGCUAUUCUCCUUGGUAAACUUCCACAUUUUGUUGAUUGGCAAACCAUGUGAUGUGUAGCCUUCUUUUUUCCUCAUUGAUUUAUAGGAGAACUUGAUUACAUUACAUUUGGACCAGCCACACUCAGUAUAGGUCAGGCUGGGAUUGGGGUGGGGCCAAUACUACAUAUGGGAGGGUCAGAGCACUGCGUCAGUGGGGGGGUGAGUCUGUCUUGGGAUGCAGUCAGGACUUGCAGCCUGUUGGGUCCCCAGUGAGUUGCAGUCAGAACUGUAGAUGGGGGGGGGGGGUAUAAAGGCCGGCCUUGUCCUCUCAUCAGGAAGCCUACACAAAAAGACCACGGCCAUGCUGGGGAUCAGUUGAAUAAUAUUGUCCAUCAUCAUUCAGGAGAGGAGAAAGAAGCUGUCUAGGAAAAAAUUGUUUCCAGGCUUAUUUCCAGAAU